rnacentral:rRNA from 1 species
AAUUACCCAAUCCUGACACAGGGAGGUAGUGACAAGAAAUAACAAUACAGGGCUAAUGUCUUGUAAUUGGAAUGAUGGUGACCCAAACCCUCACCAGAGUAGCAAUUGGAGGGCAAGUCUGGUGCCAGCAGCCGCGGUAAUUCCAGCUCCAAUAGCGUAUAUUAAACUUGUUGCAGUUAAAAAGCUCGUAGUUGAAUUUUAGCGUGUUCGAGUUUGCCAUUCGUUUGGCUUUUUCGAGUUCGCUUUUGGGUUUUCCCUUUUUACUUUGAGAAAAUUAGAGUGUUUCAAGCAGACUUUUGUCUUGAAUACUUCAGCAUGGAAUAAUAGAGUAGGACUUUGGUUCUAUUUUGUUGGUUAUUGAACCUUAGUAAUGGUUAAUAGGAACGGUUGGGGGCAUUCGUAUUUA